ACGUGACUGUGGUGGCUCCGGUGGACAAUGCUCAGAAAUUUGUAAAGGAUUUAUUAACAGUAUCAUUGGAGUGAAACAAAUCCGUCGUUGCGCACCCUUGAACCAAGCAGCAGCCAUGUUGAAACUCUCAGGAGAUGGAGGGGACGUGGAGGAAUUACAGGCGACAAGGCCACCAUUUCAACAUGUGUAUGUGUGACACAACGGGAUGUUUCUAAGGACACCUUGGGGCAGAAUGAACGACAAAAAACAGUUAAAACAGAUGGCCAAGCGGCAGAGUCCGUUGGUGAAGCCCCUGUUGGUGUAGGUGCCAAGUGCUGUAUCGCUGGGCUCUUGUGAGGUGGAGGGGACAGUGGCGCUUGAUGCUAUAUCACUAGGCUGUGUUGAC